rnacentral:rRNA from 1 species
UACCAGCACCCCGAGUGGUCGGGACGUUUAUUGGGCCUAAAGCAUCCGUAGCCGGUUCUACAAGUCUUCCGUUAAAUCCAACUGCUUAACAGGUGGGCUGCGGAAGAUACUAUAGAGCUAGGAGGCGGGAGAGGCAAGCGGUACUCGAUGGGUAGGGGUAAAAUCCGUUGAUCCAUUGAAGACCACCAGUGACGAAGGCGGCUUGCCAGAACGCGCUCGACGGUGAGGGAUGAAAGCUGGGGGAGCAAACCGG